AGUAAUGUUACGGGUUGUUUGGACGCUGCUCAAUUUUCAUGUCUGAUAAUAUAGCAGUCGUUCAACCGGGCUUUGUAAGAGCGUAUUUAUUAGAGGACAACACUGUGGAAUUCCCAGUACCAGUGUGGUUGUGAGUUUUUGACCGUCCUGACGAAUCUGCCGCCUACUCUCCUCCCUUAAACACAACCCAAGCGUUACAGCACCUAACCUUAAUUACGUUACACUGAUCAGCAACUUCCGGGUCUAGACUGGAUGCUGAAGCACGUGAAGCGGGAGCAGCCGCGGAAAUUGCGCAUGUACCGCAUGCAAAUAAUGACAAAUAGAAAAUGCAAAUAGGCCCGGCCGAUGUCCCGCCCCCGAUUAGCAAUAUACUCCACGGUGAUUGGUAAGUUCGUUCAGCUCCGCACACAACACUGAAAAGUGCCAAUUAUAUCAAACUCGCGGGCCGCACUAACAUUAAACUUUCAUAUUAAGGCGAGGGCCACAAACUAUCGUCCCGAGGGCCGCAGUUGGCCCACGGGCCGCGAGUUUGAGACCCCUGCUCUAUUGUGUUUCAACUGAUUGGCU